CACUGGCCUGGGGUCUAUCACUGACUUGCUGUGCAGCUUUAGUACUACCCCACUGGUGGAGAGAUGAGCAUCUGGUUCACAGACUUCCUGGGCAGCGGUGAGAGUUCACAUAGCAAUUCCCAACACAGGCCAUUCGCCCACCGCUGCCCAGCCCAACUCUCAAAGAGGCCGUCCGUCCUCUUGCACCUCGUUAGAAGGAAGGCUGAUGGGGUGACAACAUGAUCUUCCCGUUGAAAUCCCAAGCAGAUGGUGAAGCUCAGUCCAGCUUCGCCAGGAAGGAUGCUCCCGAAAGCCUCCCUACAGAGAGUGUAUUUCAAAGGACAGUUUGCCAGUGCUUCUUCCCCUCAUCUGGAGACCUCUGAGCACCUACAGACUUCAUCAUUCUUCACAGUCACCUGCCGCCAUGCUGCCCCAGCUCCCACUGGAGCUUUGGUUUCUCUUUUAAAGGUACGGCCAAUUCACAUCUGCAAAAUGCAAAGGUGGAAGCAGUUCAUAACUGUGGGUUUGAGAACCAGAACAAAAGACAGAGGGAAAUUCCCUUGUGACCUUGAUGUAAGUUUCAAAACUAGAACAAUCCCCUCCCUUUUAAAUGUCAGCAGGGCCAUAAAUUCUCAUGGAAGUAACUUCAAGUCAAGUCAAAAUCCUUCUCUCACAGGAGCAAAGAAAGUAACAGAGCAAAGAACCAUGUUCCCCCUGCACACCUUUUCAUGCUCCUGCACUAACGAAUCCCUUUCACUAAUUGUGUUGCAA